UACGUAGGUGGCAAGCGUUGUCCGGAUUUACUGGGCGUAAAGAGCGCGCAGGCGGUCGUUCAAGUCGCGUGUGAAAGCCCCCGGCUCAACUGGGGAGGGUCACGCGAUACUGAUCGACUCGAAGGCAGGAGAGGGUAGUGGAAUUCCCGGUGUAGUGGUGAAAUGCGUAGAUAUCGGGAAGAACACCUGUGGCGAAGGCGGCUCUCUGGGACGGUACUGACGCUGAGACGCGAAAGCGUGGGGAGCAAACAGG
rnacentral:rRNA from 1 species